rnacentral:rRNA from 1 species
UACGUAGGGUGCAAGCGUUAAUCGGAAUUACUGGGCGUAAAGAGCGCGCAGGCGGCUUGGUAAGUCGGAUGUGAAAUCCCGAGGCUCAACCUCGGGUCUGCAUCCGAUACUGCCCGGCUAGAGGUAGGUAGGGGAGAUCGGAAUCCUGGUGGUGACGGUGAAUGACGCAGAUAUCAGGAGGAACACCGGUGGCGAAGGCGGAUCUCUGGGCCUUACCUGACGCUCAGGCGCGAAAGCUAGGGGAGCGAACUGG